rnacentral:rRNA from 1 species
UUUUUUUUUAAAUACUUUUAGUAGCAAAAUGUAAUCUAUAAAUAAACUCAAGGUGAAAACUUUGACUACUUUAUGAUUAGUAAGAAUGUUGACAUGAGUAACUACAAACGAUGUGAAAACCAUCGUCGCCGAAAGAUCAAGGGUUCUUACGUACAGAUAUUCUGCGUAAGCUAAGACGGCCUUUAAACAUACCUAUGAAAAUAGAUUGUGAUAAGUACACAAUGUAUGACUACCUUUUUAGGUGUUAUCAAUAUUCUGUGUCAUUCUUAUGUCUGACGAUGUAACUUUGAUAUAUUUUUUUUUAUUGAAUUAAAAGAGUAUAUCAGUUGGGUCCUAGAAAAACCUAAGAAAAAAGAACCGUACCUCAAACCGACUAAGGUGAUCUAGCAUUAGUAUGCUAAGGCGAUUGAGAAAACUCCACUUAAGGAACUCGGCAAUAUGCUUCCGUAACUUCGGGAGAAGGAAGAUCUUAUACUAAUUCCCCCUUGAAGACUAGCCGCUAGGUUGGUCGUAAGUCCACAUCCGUGGCAAUAAGUAACGAUAACUGGGCGUUGUAUAAGAUGAUCAAAAUUGCUUGGCCCGACUGUUUAUCAAAAACACAGCUCGAUGCAAAGUAGUAAUACCAUGUAUAUCGAGUGACCCCUGACCAAUGUACGGCUAUUAUGAAUGGCGAGUCUUUACUUGUCAUUUAAAGUACCUAUCAAUGUCGGUUGUAACUAUAACGAUCCUAAGGUAGCGAAAUUCCUAGGCACUUAAUUGGUGUCCAGCAUGAAUGGGGUAACGAGGCCUCGACUGUCUCAAGUGGAGACUCAGUGAAAUUGAAUUCGUCGUGAAGAUGCGAUGUAUUAGCGGGUAGGCGAAAAGACCCCAUGAACCUUUACUACAGGUUUAGAUUGCUAACAUGACUAGGGAAUGCAGGAUAGGUGGGAGUCAAUCAGACCUAAGCUCCGGCUUAUUGUUUAGACGUCCUUGAGAUACCACCCUCUCUAGCAUCGAAGCUCACUCAUUUUUCUAUAAAUUUAAAAACACUCAACUAGAAUUCUAGGUUUUUAUAUCUGUGAUAUCCUGAGGGGAUAUCAUCUUAUUUUUAGAAGUAGAUAAAUUAUAAUUGAUUCAAUAUAUUCUAUUUUGUAGUCAAUUUAUUUAUCCGUAGGGGAACGUCUAAGCUUGGUAGUUUGCCUGGGGCGGGAACCUCCUAAAGAGUAACGGAGGUAUAUAGUUUGUCUCAGUGGGAACAGAAGCCCCACUUAGAGUAUAAUAGCAAUAAAGACAAAUGGACUGUAAGAGUGAUAGCUCAAGCAGGCAGGUAUUGUUUUACAAUUACCUGGUUUAUAGUGAUCAGGCGCUUCCUUAUGGAAGGGGCGUCGCUUAAUAGAUAAAAGGUACUCUGGGGAUAACAGCGUAAUCCCGGAUAAGAGCUCCUAUUGAAUCCUGGGUUUGCGACCUCGAUGUUGAUUCAUCCCAUCCUCCUGGUGUAGCAGCUGGGAAGGGUAGCACUGUUCGUGCUCUAAGGGGGUACGUGAAUUGAGUUCAGAACGUACGUGAGACAGUUUGGUUUCUACCUCCCGCUAAGUGAAAUAAGAAAAAAAAUAUGAGACUAGUAUGAGAAGACCGUCUUGUGUGAAUCUCUGGUUAGCAGAUUGUUCCAUCAGGAGCACUGUCUGUACGCUACAUUCAUCAUAGAUAAGCGUUGAAUGCAUAUCAAACGCGAAGCUAAUUUUUUCACUUCUUAUUUUGAAAAACAAUAGACCAUUGUUUAAAUAGGCUCGAACUAGAUCUUCUGUAAAGAAACAGGUUUCGUGUACUAACGUUUAGUCAAGAC